rnacentral:lncRNA from 1 species
AGUCAUCACGUAAAAACGUUUAACAUCUCCUCCUCCCUCUUCAGCCUUGCUACAAACCCUUCCCCUUCCUCCUCUUUCUCCGGCGCCGGCGGUACUACUACUACCUCUUUUGCAGCCAGUUUCUUCUUCCAAGUCCAUCAAUGUCUUCUAUUCCUCAAGUGAGUGUUUAUUUAUUAAAUUCUUUUUUUUUCUUUUUGCGUUCUUUUUUUUUUCUUUUUGCAUUCUUUUUUUCUUCUUUCUAUUCUUGUUUUGAUAUUUGUUGUUGAACUUGAUGAACAUUUAGUUUUUGCUUUUUCACUUGGCACUUGGUUUUGGUAGUAUGUUGCCAAUUGAUUUUUUUUUAAGGCAGUAUGUUGUCAAUUGAUGUUGUGGUGCUAUUUUGUGUUAUUGAACUUAGUUUAUUAUAUAAUUUAUAAUUUGGUUUGAAUUAUAAAUUUUAUUUUAUUUUGACCUUUGAUAUUUUAUCUUUUUAAUGUGUGAAAUUAUG